rnacentral:rRNA from 1 species
CUUAGUGGCGCACGGGCGCGUAACGCGUGGGAAUCUACCCUUAGGUGCGGAAUAACAGUUAGAAAUGACUGCUAAUACCGCAUAAUGACUCCGGUCCAAAGAUUUAUCGCCUAAGGAUGAGCCCGCGUAAGAUUAGCUAGUUGGUGAGGUAAGAGCUCACCAAGGCGACGAUCUUUAGCUGGUCUGAGAGGAUGAUCAGCCACACUGGGACUGAGACACGGCCCAG